UACGGAGGGUCCAAGCGUUAUCCGGAAUCAUUGGGUUUAAAGGGUCCGUAGGCGGUUUGGUAAGUCAGUGGUGAAAGCCCAUCGCUCAACGGUGGAACGGCCAUUGAUACUGCCAGACUUGAAUUACUAGGAAGUAACUAGAAUAUGUAGUGUAGCGGUGAAAUGCUUAGAUAUUACAUGGAAUACCAAUUGCGAAGGCAGGUUACUACUAGUGGAUUGACGCUGAUGGACGAAAGCGUGGGUAGCGAACAGG
rnacentral:rRNA from 1 species